rnacentral:rRNA from 1 species
GAUCAUGGCUCAGGAUGAACGCUGGCGGCGUGCCUAACACAUGCAAGUCGAACGAAGCAAUUGAAGGAAGUUUUCGGAUGGAAUUCGAUUGACUGAGUGGCGGACGGGUGAGUAACGCGUGGAUAACCUGCCUCACACGUGGGGAUAACAGUUAGAAAUGACUGCUAAUACCGCAUAAGCGCACAGUACCGCAUGGUACGGUGUGAAAAACUCCGGUGGUGUGAGAUGGAUCCG